AACCCAACAGCUAGCCCGACCUCCUAAAGCAAAUUACCAACAUCAAUAAACCCAUAAGCACUAAACUAAGAAAACAAACCAUUUUUCCCUCUCAGUAUGGGAGACAGAAAAG
rnacentral:rRNA from 1 species